rnacentral:rRNA from 1 species
UACGUAGGGUGCGAGCGUUAAUCGGAAUUACUGGGCGUAAAGCGUGCGCAGGCGGUUAUGCAAGACAGAGGUGAAAUCCCCGGGCUCAACCUGGGAACUGCCUUUGUGACUGCAUAGCAAGAGUGCGGCAGAGGGGGAUGGAAUUCCGCGUGUAGCAGUGAAAUGCGUAGAUAUGCGGAGGAACACCGAUGGCGAAGGCAAUCCCCUGGGCCUGCACUGACGCUCAUGCACGAAAGCGUGGGGAGCAAACAGG